UCAAGCUAAUAAGAGCAUAAGGUGAAUGCCUUGGCAUCAAGAACCGAUGAAGGACGUAAAAAGCUGCGAUAAGCUUCGGGGAGGCGCACAUAGCCAACGAUCCGGAGAUUUCCGAAUGGGGAAACCUAGCUGAGAAAAGCUCAGUUGGCGUACAGUGAAUCAAUAGCUGUGCGUAGGGAACGCUCUGAACUGAAACAUCUAAGUAGGAGCAGGAAGAGAAAGAAACAUCGAUUUCCUAAGUAGUGGCGAACGAACGGGAAACAGGCCAAACCGAGAUACAUGUAUUUCGGGGUUGUGGACUACACCAUGUGAUGGAGGUAAGGUAGUAGAAUUGUUUUGGGAAAGCAAGCCAAAGAAAGUGAAAGCCUUGUAUACGAAACCUGAAGACCCACAGUAGUAUCCAGAGUACAUCGGGACACGUGAAACCCUGAUGGAAGCCGGAGGGACCACCCUCCAAGCCUAAAUAUUCCUUGAUGACCGAUAGCGAAGAAGUACUGUGAAGGAAAGGUGAAAAGAACCCCGGGAGGGGAGUGAAAGAGAACCUGAAACCUUAUGUUUACAAACAGUCGAAGUUUUUCGGAACGACGGCGUACUUUUUGUAGAACGGUCCGGCGAGUUGCAGUGACAUGCGAGGUUAAGGAGUACAGCUCCGGAGCCGAAGGGAAACCAAGUCUUAACUGGGCGUCUAGUAUGUUAAUGCAGACCCGAAACCGGGUGACCUAUCCAUGGGCAGGUUGAAGUUACCGUAAAAGGUAAUGGAGGACCGAACUCACAUCUGUUGAAAAAGGUGGAGAUGACCUGUGGAUAGCGGAGAAAUUCCAAUCGAACUCGGAGAUAGCUGGUUCUCCUCGAAAUAGCUUUAGGGCUAGCCUUGAGGUAAAGUCUAAUGGAGGUAAAGCACUGAUUGGACGCGGGUCCCCAAAAGGAUACCAACUUCUAUCAAACUCAGAAUGCCAUAUAGAUAUACUCAGGAGUCAGACUAUGUGAGAUAAGUUUCAUAGUCAAAAGGGAAAGAGCCCAGACCGACAGCUAAGGUCCCAAAGUGUGUGUUAAGUGGAAAAGGAUGUUAGGUUUCUAAGACAACUAGGAUGUUGGCUCAGAAGCAGCCACUCAUUUAAAGAGUGCGUAACAGCUCACUAGUCGAGAGGUCUAGCGCCGAAAAUGUCCGGGGCUAAAACACACCACCGAAGCUACGGAAUUACCUAUGGUAAUUGGUAGAGGAGCAUUCUGUAAGGAUGAAGCACAAUUGAAAGAGAGUGUGGACGAAACAGAAGAGAGAAUGCCGGAAUGAGUAGCGAGAUAUAUGUGAGAAUCAUAUAGGUCGAAUGUCUAAGGUUUCCUGGGUAAAGCUGAUCUGCUCAGGGUAAGUCGGGACCUAAGGUGAGGGCGAGAGCCGUAAUCGAUGGACAACAGGUAGAAAUUCCUGUACUACGUAUAAUCAGAACUGUGGGGACGCAGGAGGAUAGGAAAACCGGAGAAUGGAAAAAUCCGGCUAAGUACAAAGGUGUGAGUGAUAGGCAAAUCCGUCACUAUUAGCUGAAGUACGAAUGGGAGCGAAGAAAAGUAGCGAAGUUUCUGAAUCCACACUGUCAAGAAAAGCCGCUAUUGCGUUAUACGUACCCGUACCGCAAACCGACACAGGUAGACGAGGAGAAAAUCCACAGACCGACGGGAGAAGUGUUGUUAAGGAACUCGGCAAAAUGACCCCGUAACUUAGGGAUAAGGGGAGCCAACGCAAGUUGGUCACAGAAAAGAGGCUCAAGCGACUGUUUAGCAAAAACAUAGGUCUAUGCGAAACCGUAAGGUGAUGUAUAUGGGCUGACACCUGCCCGGUGCUGGAAGGUCAAAAGGAGAGGUUAGCGUAAGCGAAGCUUUGAAUUCAAGCCCCAGUAAACGGCGGCCGUAACUAUAACGGUCCUAAGGUAGCGAAAUUCCUUGUCAGGUAAGUUCUGACCCGC
rnacentral:rRNA from 1 species